AUUAUUAUUUGAAUUUGUGUACAAAGUCAUUUUGCCUGGGUCAGAGAAAAAGACCACUGCCUAUGUUUUUAUUUGCUUAUGAUAAUGUGUCUGAGAAACUUUAAGUUGAUAAUUCAACCAUCUCUAAUGUUUGAGCACAUGCACAAGGUCAUCUAUGUGAAGGAAGGGAAACAUAGUUGCCUUAUGGGUACUUUUUGAAUAAGGUGUUUGACCACUUUAGAAUAGUUUAGAAUAAAAAAAGUCCGCGAGUAGUCAAAUAAAAGUUUAGUAUGACAACAUUUGUUGAAAAUGAAUGCAUAGUUUGAAAAGUUAGAAUUAUGUUCCAAGUGUCAGAGUACUGGCUGCUCAGGAAAAAUCUAAGAAAAUUAAGGUGAUAAAGAUUAUGUUAGCUGUAAAGGACGCUGAGAUAAUGCACUUGAAAAUGCAGAAUCAGAUGUUAUUUUUAGAGAAUCUGGUGCUACUGAUGAAGUUGUAGAAGAAAAAUGCAAAGCACCAAACCAAAGAUGCAGAACUCAGUAUAAAAUUUUUAAGGUUGAAUUAUGAAGUUAAAAACCUCACUAAGUAGCUACCAAAUGCUCAUGUUGCAAAGAGUUCUAGAAUUGUGUUGUACUCGUACCCUUCUCCCAGAAUCUCUCCUCUACCUAAGUCCUAUCAUGUCUAUUUUAGUUUGUCAUCCCUACGUUAGUUUGAAAUGCUUUUUUUAUGUGGCUUUUGUACAUAGUUGUUUUAUGUCUUUUUGUAUGCUUUAAUGGUGUAGAUCUCACUUAAAUUGACUGAAUCCUUUAUUUGUAUGCUGACUCUAUUUCUUCUUUAUCAUUAAUAUUGUUCUUCAUGUAAGAGUUUCCCUAGUGGACAUGCGUUCAUUAACUUUUUCUUAUUUUAAUACUUGUUUACUUUUUUAACUUUUCAAUAAUGCCAAAAUGAGGAAUUUUGAAUUCAUGCUAUAGGGACCAGGUGACGGUGUGUGUUUAAUGAUAUGAUUAUAUGUUAAGAACCAGGUACCAAAUGCAUAUGUGUUAAAUAAAUGUAAAUGGUAAUGAUGCAAUAUUUAUAGGGCGAAGAAUAUUAAAUGUUGUAGGUGGAUAAAUGAACUGAAUCAACAUUAAAACAUAGCGACUGAAUUUUUAUGCCAAUUGAUAAAAAGGGACCAGGUCCCUAGGUUGCAUGAUUCAUUGACAGGAGGAAUCAUGGUGCUUACUCAUAGGGGAACAUUCAUUGACAAUAGCGGCAACCACUCAGACUAAGGACUAAAUUGUGAUGAAUUUAAUUUGACACAUUAAUGGUAUACAAGGAUAAAGGGAGUAAACAACGACAUUGGAACAUAGCUUAGAAAGGAAAGCUGGAAGUCGGAACUUCUAAUUUUUUUUAGUCAAUGCAUCGCGGUGAGGGACCAAAUGGAGUUAGUCAAAAACCAGUGAGGUACCCCGGUAUGACUGCAUCGUGGUUUAGCUGAAUAUAGGACUGGCAAGAGAAAAAGAGUUGGUAGAGUCUUUUGUAGAACCAAAAAUGAUAUUCCAACAAAGGCGAAGAGCUGAAUAUCCUAUUCAACAGGCACCAUAGAUCACUAACAACUGAAAGAAAAGGCUAAGGCUAGCUCUUCUGCAGCAGCUAGGAAAUAGAACAAGCAUUUUGAAAACCAACUUGCUAGGGUGCCACGAGCUCCACCACUACAACCUACUCAUAUAAGGAAAUUUAGGUUUAAGGCGACCUGAAAGGUAGACAAGCAGUGGUACUCCAAACACACUAUUGCCAAUUAUAUUCCUGAGGUGUUCAUUUACAGGGCAAGCCUACUAAGGGAAUGCCAAGCAUGAUACAACAAAUUGAGCAGCUGAACAUGAACUUACUUUUUCAUCAGUUGACUAAGUGUAAUCAACAUCUGAUUUGCAAAUUCUAUGCCAACUGGGAUCCUACGAACCCAGAUCAUGAAUUGAAUAUUCACGGAAAGGUGGUCUGAUUCACAACUAUAAAUAUAAAUAACCUGCUAGGUAUAUCGGAGGCUGAUGCAUACCCCUUGAAGAUGUUGAUUGUCACUUCUCCCUAUGCUUAUACCUAAAACUUAUUGUGUGGUACAUUCUCAUCUUCUAGAUGGACUAGGCACUGGGUUACGAUCUUACAUUCCUCCUUUCCCUAUGCUCAAAUUAACAAAGAGGCCCGAAUUGGGGGACGUAUUGGGUAUCAUUUCCCCAUUUAAGGCAAACACAUGACAAAAAUUACACGGGACCGGUUAUGUUUAAUCUAUGCUUUGAUAUGUUAUGACAUUGACAUUAAUGUGGGCUAGGUAAUAUUCUCUGUAAUGGAGAAAGUACGCUACUAGUUGGGGUGUAGCUAUGGUUUUGGAGGUUUGUCGACUUGGUUAUUAAGGACGCACAGGGUUGAUGAGGAGGAUUUGGAUUACAAGCCGAAAGUUGUUACUCACCCUGUUGAUAUUACUACUGCUAGGAUCAUAGAUGGGGCCCAAGGCCCAAUCCUGACUAUGGACGAGUGCUAUGCUCGGGCUGAUGAGAUAUCUGCCAGGAUGUUUGGCCUGCAAAUGUUACAAUUAUGGAUAGGGGAAGAUUCCCAACACACGAAGAACUUUAUAAUAUGGAGUUAGAUUACCCCAUUAGCCAUCAGGCUAGAAUUUUGCUGAGGAUCGUUCCUGAGUUUUUUGAACCUAUUGAUGUUGAUGUACCUACAGAUGUAGAUAGGUGGUACCAGGACUCCGAUAUUGAGUCAGAUGCUGAGGAUCAGUCUGAUGAUUGUGAUGCUGAUGCUGAUGAUGGUUAUGAUUAGGAAGGUGCAGAUGAUGCCAUGACGGUGAUAGUUCCCUUUGACUGAUCAGGAACUAUGACGCUACCUUACCAUAUGCUUAUUGAUAGCACUAGUAUAGUGCUUCGUUUAAGUGUAUGGUGGUUGUCCUUCGCUUUCAUAUCUAAUUUUGCUUGAACAAUUUCUAUUUUUAUGUUGUGUUGGAUUUUUGUAUUUCUAAUUAUUCGGAACAUUAUGCCUAUAAUAGUUAGUAAGUUUCAAGUAUGGAUUGUUGUAAUUUACCCUCAAGGCAUUUUUCACAUUUUCCUUUUAGUUUAAAGUGUUUGCUUUUAUUUA